UCACCUCUCUCUGACUCUCACUCUCUCUCUCUCUCCUCUUCUUCUCCUCCUCUCAAGAUUGAAUCUUUUUCUUCUUCUCCUCCUCUCAAGAUUGCAUCUUUUCCUUCAUCUCCUCCUCUGAAGAUUGCAUCUUUUCACUUCUGUCUCUCUCCUUUCCCUCCCCCUGUUCUCCCAAGAUUUGAUUUUUGAUGGCUAUAUAGUGUGAUUCUUCUCCCAUGAGGAAAAUUUGAAGAACACGAAGAGUUUCCAUGAAUUUGACGAUGUGAAUGGAAAGUUUGAAGAACAUCAAGUGUUUCGAAAGAACAAUCUGAUUGGGGUGCUUGAGGAUACCAGAGAUCUUACACUCCAUGGUAUUUUUUACGAGUUCGAAGCUGCUUUAGAGAACACCAAGCUCAGUGUUACCUUAAGGAGCUGAGAAGAGGAAUCACCACGCUUUUCAAUCAUGUAUUGACUUACCUAUUUUGGUGGAUCACCUUAUAUUUUUGCUAGGAAGCAAACUGAGAUAUUUUUACUACAGAGGCAUAGAGCUGCUGUCAUACAAAAGCUGAUGAAAAGCAGGAUUGCAAGGAAGAAAUUCAACAACAUUUGUGAUGCAUCAAUUGUGAUACAAUCAGCUAUCUUUGCAGUUUAUUGUGGCUGGUUUGUCAGAAGAUGCUCAGGAGGUAUAGGAUAAAUGAAACCUGGGAACACAAAAGUGCUUCAUUAUGGAUCACCAGGAAUUCGGGCUAUACACAGCUCAGACAAAGCUUCCAUUUAACGCAUUUGGAACAAUGGCAAGUGCCAGAGAUGAGAGAAACAUUAAUGUGUGAACAAUUCUGCUUCAAGCCAGAUUAUUUUGGUUACUAAAGGAAGGUGAACUAACUCCCAGUAACGCCAAUAUAUUGGAUGGUCGGUAUGCAGUGUUCGGAUACAUUACAGAAAAUGAGGACUUUUUGGCAGAUCUCAAGGUUGGUGAUGCUAUUGAAUCUAUCCAAGUUGUUUCUGGCCCGGAAAAUCUAGUGCAUCCAAGCUACAAUAUUGCUGGCUAGACAAAAGCCUCUGUCUACUUUGGUGACAUCAAUAAGGCCAUUUUCAACAAAUUUCUUUCAGGCUCAUUCUGUUCAUGUCUUCCAUUUGCAAGUUUAUACACGGCAACCAUUUGGAAGCCUAUCAUUUCUAGAGAAUAGUAUAAAUUUUUCAUUUUUCAUUUUCCCCAAAAAAGGAGCACAAAAAACAUAAAUUUACCUGUUCAGUACGGAAAAACAAUUUUGUAUAAACCACUUGAUACAUCUCUGGUAAUAUGUUGAACUGAUGAAGAAUAGCAACUGAAACAUUAAGGGCCCGUUUGGUA